GACGAACGCUGGCGGCGUGCUUAACACAUGCAAGUCGAACGGAAAGGCCCUGCUUUUGUGGGGUGCUCGAGUGGCGAACGGGUGAGUAACACGUGAGUAACCUGCCCUUGACUUUGGGAUAACUUCAGGAAACUGGGGCUAAUACCGGAUAGGAGCUCCUGCUGCAUGGUGGGGGUUGGAAAGUUUCGGCGGUUGGGGAUGGACUCGCGGCUUAUCAGCUUGUUGGUGGGGUAGUGGCUUACCAAGGCUUUGACGGGUAGCCCGCCUGAGAGGGUGAACGGGCCCCAUGGGACUGAGAUACGGCCCAGACUCCUACGGGAGGCAGCAGUGGGGAAUAUUGCACAAUGGGCGGAAGCCUGAUGCAGCAACGCCGCGUGCGGGAUGACGGCCUUCGGGUUGUAAACCGCUUUCGCCUGUGACGAAGCGUGAGUGACGGUAAUGGGUAAAGAAGCACCGGCUAACUACGUG
rnacentral:rRNA from 1 species